UAGGGUUCUAUUCCGGAGAGGGAGCCUGAGAAACGGCUACCACAUCCAAGGAAGGCAGCAGGCGCGCAAAUUACCCAAUCCCGACACCGGGGAGGUAGUGACAAUAAAUACUGAUACAGGGCUCUUUUGGGUCUUGUAAUUGGAAUGAGUACAAUUUAAAUACCUUAACGAGGAACAAUUGGAGGGCAAGUCUGGUGCCAGCAGCCGCGGUAAUUCCAGCUCCAAUAGCGUAUAUUAAAGUUGUUGCAGUUAAAAAGCUCGUAGUUGAACCUUGGGCCUGGCUGGCCGGUCCGCCUCACCGCGUGCACUGGUCCGGCCGGGCCUUUCCUUCUGGGGAUCCCCAUGCCCUUCACUGGGUGUGGCGGGGAACCAGGACUUUUACUUUGAAAAAAUUAGAGUGUUCAAAGCAGGCCUUUGCUCGAAUACAUUAGCAUGGAAUAAUAGAAUAGGACGUGCGGUCCUAUUUUGUUGGUUUCUAGGACCGCCGUAAUGAUUAAUAGGGAUAGUCGGGGGCAUCAGUAUUCAAUUGUCAGAGGUGAAAUUCUUGGAUUUAUUGAAGACUAACUACUGCGAAAGCAUUUGCCAAGGAUGUUUUCAUUAAUCAGUGAACGAAAGUUAGGGGAUCGAAGACGAUCAGAUACCGUCGUAGUCUUAACCGUAAACUAUGCCGACUAGGGAUCGGGCGAUGUUAUUAUUUUGACUCGCUCGGCACCUUACGAGAAAUCAAAGUCU
rnacentral:rRNA from 1 species